rnacentral:lncRNA from 1 species
AGUGCUAUGGGAAAAUUAACGGGAGUCUGAAAAGACCGCACUACAUCCGGUCCUGCACUAUAAGCGGAUACGUUAUAAGUGGUCUAUACUUUAUUUUGUGUAGUGCAUGUUUUGUCAUUCUUUCUUUGUCCUUGUCUCGCGCGCUUGCGCUGUUCCCGCUUUCAAGAUUGUGAAUUCAUGUUCACUGGCGCAACAACGGUCAUAAUGGCACAGCUCGAUGCCUACAGAAUGCAGACUGCUUGGUGUAGGGAAGGAAGGGUGGAGAAGGCGAAUCAGAACAAAUGGUUGCACCAAGCUGCCAGGCUGGAUAACCAGUCGAGCUGCAUUGCAAAGGCACUAAUGAGAGGUUCCACAGUUCAUUAGCAUGAAGUGCCUGGGCAACAACAAAGAAACGACCAGCUCCACAUAAAAAGUUUACAUUCUCAUCAGAGCGGCAAAAAAAAAAAAAAAUUGAGGCUUUCUCAUCACAUUUCUGCUGUCAACUGCAUUCAUGUAUUUACAUCACCCAAAGUGGCCAUGAAGAGUGUGAACUUCACACCCAAAAUCUUGCACAUUGUGGCCAGGGAAUUUUACGAAUUCAUAUUAUCCCAAAAUUGGUGCCUGCCAUGACUGUAUGCUCGAGAUUCUACUGUUAUUAAUUGUUCUACUCUCAAGAGAGCUAAUGUAAGCCUAAAUGGAAUUUACAGGCCAUAAUCUGUGCAUCUCUACAUCUGCCAACUUGAUUGUGUGUUUUGUCACAGUUAUUGUGUAAAGCAUGCUCUUAUGUACAGGAAAUUCCAUUAGAAAUGUUGUGCUGUUUUAUUUUGAACUAUUUUAAUUAUAGAAGGAUCUAGCAUAUUUUAAUUGCGAACAUUUAGAGAACUGCAACAACAUAAUUAAAUUGUCUUACGGGAGACAGGCAGGCCUUCAUCCGUUUGUGGAUGUGCCAUCUAUCUCGAAAGCUCUUAAGCUGAUGCACUAGUGGCCAGAGUAGGUGGUUUGUGGGCAUAACAGGUGAUUUAAGUGCUUUAAUUAGUAUACUGUGUGCUGUGGCUGUGAGCUGAUAUUUGCUGUGCAUUUGCCGGGCUGAUAUUCAGUUCGUAAACUCGUCAAGGGCUGAAAAGUUAUGCAUUGCAGAUUAGUGCUGUAGCAGAGUUCGUAGGAUAAUUGCUGAAAACUCAAGUUUUUGCAGCAUGGCUUUUCUUUGCUGCACAUUCCUGUUCUCAGUACAAACCAAAGAUGACACUCUCCAAAGAAUGUGUACUGAAAGCCUUGUGUUUUAAAGACAUCCUCAUAAGCGAUUGGGUAAUCAACAUCUGCAAACCAGCCACACUAAUGCAGGUUGGUUUGAAUGAACUAUGUGAUGCAUAUGAGUAAUUUGGAACUAUUGCUGUGUGUAAAGUACCAUCAACUAUGAAUUGUAGUGUGCCUGCCUUUUCAAGCUUCUAAUAAAUUCUAAUCCAGCAAGAAAAAGGCAAUGAAGGGAUAAGCUUAAUUGAGUGGAGUGCUUUUUUUUUUUUUUUGCUCAUGUUUAAAACAAAAGAAAGGCUAUGGACAGAACAAAGGUCUGUGGGCAUGCAUAAUGGAAACUUGCAUUUCUGGAAGCAUUGAGCCGCAGCUCAGUAAUGAGCACAAACGAUCAUGUCAAGUCACUGUCUCUAUGUGCUGUAAAAAAAAAAAAAAAAGAUGCAAUUAAUAGAACAACUUUUCAUGUGAAUUUAGCUUUACAUAAUUCCUGCCAUUUCUUACAUAACCAGUUCGUUUCAUGCAAUUGUGAAUAGAAUUUUCACUCUUGGCAAAGCAAAAUAUUUGCAUUAGGAGACAUUUCAUUUGGCACAGUUCAUAAAGGCACCUGUUUGUGUUCGUCCCCUUUUACUCUGAAGCUUCAAAGCAAGCAUCCCAAGUCCCUUCACUUGUGUAGGCCAGUCACUGAAUGCCUCGAAUGGAAAGGGAUGUUGGCGUGUUAAAUACUUCAAGCUAUUUUUAAUUGCCUGAUGCUUUGGGUGCGCAUUGGGAAGUUUGAGUUUUGCAUGGGUUCAUUACAGCUCAUAAAACUAAUUUGGCGUCCUAAAAUUCAAAAAAGUUUAGUUAGACUGCUGAAUAGCCGAGCAAUUUUUUUCAUCUUUAUUGUUUAUCAUCUUCACUAGUAUCACACUAAUAUUUGUCUAUAGUAACCGACUACUCAGUAGUUAACAAUGUUGCUAGUCAUGCCAAAGCACUAUGCCUAAACAAUUGUACUACAGUGCUACUUGCAUAUAACAAAUUCUUGAAUUUUAACUGCUUGCAUACAUGCUGGUAGUUUACACUACUUGCCUCUUAGUGCUGUGCUCUACUCCUUCAAACUUGCAUAGGCACAGUUUGUAUGCAUCUUUCCUUAUUUUAUUGGGUUCAAUUGAAAAUAUACGUGAAAUUUCUUUCACUUCAUUUUAAUCUUUGUUUUAAAAAAUUGUAUGUAUUGGGGUAAUUAUGUUUACACCUUCUGUAUGUGUGUUUAACAACCAUUUUAACAUUCUUUACCUUCAGAAUAAGGAAAUUUUGAGUGAAACACUGCAUCAUUUCUGUAAAUAAACAUCUUGCAGUUGUACAUGAUUUUGUGCAGUGUGGGUUCAGAACUGAUUGUGUGUGCCUUAAUUGAUGCACCGCAGCUGCUCUUCUGCUUCUUCACUUUGACGGUUUUGCAUGCAUCUGGGUCACGUGUGUGAAUCGGUGUUUAGUUAUAGCUACAAGUCCCAUCAUUUCUGUUUGAAUGAAACAUUGUCCAUGCUUUGUGCAGCAUGAAAGGGUUAUAUUUAAAUGUGUGGGCUAGAUCAUGUCUGGAAGAACUGUUUGUAUUCAUAGCUUUUUUUUUUUUUAACCGUGUGUGUGUGCAUGCAUGUCAUUUCUUUUUUCCAGAGUAGUUGGGUCACUUCAUGAAAUGUACAGAUGAAUUAUGUUUAUAUUAUGUAUUUAUCUAAUGUUUUCUGUCUGUACACAUGCAUCAUUUGUGUGGUGGUGACACAAAUGUUGCGACAUUUUGUACAUGAUAUAAUAAGUGAUGCAAUUACCAGCAGAAGAGCUUCUGUGUUCUUAGCUUUCACACAUCAUGUCAAUGUGUAGCACCUUCAUUCAGCUCAUCUUCACUAUUAAAAAUUUUUUAUUAUGCAAAGUUGUACUGUUCUUGAAGUAUUCAGAGUAAAUAUACAUACUUUAUUGUUAAUUUUGUUGUAUAAUUGUUUUUUAGUGCAAGCUUUGACAUUGCUUGUGUAAAAUUGGGUUCUUGUAAAUAAUUUGUACAAUACAAAUUAUUAUUUUCU